AGUCCCCCAGCCUCCAGAGCCCGGCUGCGGGCCUCGGGCCGAAGUGAGGAGUGCGCGUGGGCGAAGGAAUUCUCCCGGGGAGAUAAGCCUGGCCUCAGGCCCUCCCUGGGACGCCGUGGGCCGGACGCCUGGAGGAGGAGAGGAGGAGAGGGCCGAGCGCUCCUCACAGGCCCUGCGGGGGCCGCGGCCCAAGGGUCCUUCUGCUCAGGAAUGAAUCUGAGGCCAGGCAACAUCUUGGUGAUGCUCCAGCCUUUCCAGCUGACUUGGUGUAGAGGACCUGUGGGAUGUGCUGAGGAGGACUGAGGGAGAAGAGGGUGGCAGUGUUUCAGAGGCUGCCCCAUCAGCCCAGGUUAACGAAGGAAGAAGUGGAGCAGAGCCCAGCCCACCCAUGUUGGACAUGGCACAAGCGGUUUCUCGCCAGUAUGAAUUGUGUGAUGUCGAGUAAGUUCUGCUUGAAGACGAAAGGCAUCCCCACAUUCUUUACACCCAUAAGGCUUCUCACCUGUAUGAAGUCUAAAAUGUUGAGUAAGAUGAUAUCGGCGACUAAAGGUCUUUCCACAUUCCUUACAUUCAUACGGAAUCUCACCAGUGUGAAUUCUUUGAUGUAAGGGGGCAGACAUUCAGCUGGUGUCUUAAAACAGAGCUCUGAAAUUCAACAAUGGAGAAAACUGAUAUUCCAGAAAACAGAUUGUCAGUUAUUUGCACAGAUAUCCUUACCCAAUGAGACCAAGUUGCUGUAGUUCUCCAACAUCACAUCCCUGUACAAGGCCCUCUGAACAGCGUCCAGGCACUCCCAUUCCUCCUGGGAGAGGUCUAUGGCCACGUCCCUGAAUGACAAGGACAUCUGAAAUGACAGAUCCAUGUAUCAUAAACAACGUUUAAAAUGUAUUUUCAAGAUGGAAAACUGCUUUGCAAGAAAGAGGCAAUGAUAUAGCAAGCAGCAAACUGAGGUUCAAGCCCGUGAUAUGUAGGGAAGAAUAAGAAAAUCUGUGAUUUCUAAAGUGGAGUGCCUAUACGCUUUUAAAGAAUACAGUAGGUACAAACAGAAUGUCCUGUAUACCAUGGGAUGAAUGAAUGAAUAAAAUAAUCAAAGGUUCCCAAUGAAAUGAAAUCCUAUAAAUAAGCACACUGCCUAUCACGUGCCUGCCGUUUAAGUUCUGAAUAAAUGUCUGUGGAGUCUAAUGGACCAUCAUGUCUGUGUCAUAGAAUCAUGACUCUAACAAGGGAAGUUCAGAUAUCUCCCUCAAGCAACUUCAUCCAUCACUGCUCCAUCAGUGCUCCUGAGAGAGACUGGGCACUGGGAGAGGUGAUGAAUAGGUGAACACAGGUGAGAAAGAAGAGGGGCAAAGAGAGAAGAGGGGCAAAGGAGGAGGCCACUAGGCUGUAUGACACCAUCCUUCACUGUGAUCAGAGCAACUGGGCGCAGCUUCAGCAAUCAGGUUGUCUUAGGAAGGAAGUCUCAGGAUAAUAAAAAUGAUCCCAGGAAUUCAAAACCACGACAUCUCAAGGAGGAUAAACAUGAACUUACAUGGGCCAUGGUUGUAGAACUGCAAGAACUUGUUCUCCUCUUUGGGCUUCCUCCGCUCGAAAAGCACAGAGUCCAGAGAAGCCAGGACUGGGGGAGGAACAGGAAGCUUUGAGACCAGGCAUGUCUCAAAGAAAUCCCCAAAUGACUUAAGUUAACAUGAUCCUGUUUUGCCUUCUUUCUACUUCUACCCCACAGUGCCCCACAUACAAAUCAGGAGAGAUAAGAGGGAGCUUGGAUGAAGCCAAACCCUUCCUAUACCACAGGGAACCAGCUGCACAAGUGUAGAUACAGAGCAGAGGCCUCCUGCAUGAAGCCAGACCAGGCACUCUAGCACUCUAGCAGAAGGGUCUCCCAAUUUCUGAUGACGUUAUCUGUAGCUGUUCCAUUAGUCUCACUUUGAAUCUAACAUCAUUACAAAAAAAACUGUAAGUUAUGAAGUUGUGAGAUCCAACAUGACAGCCACAUAUGGCUAUUUAAAUCAAAUCAAAAAUUUAAAUUAAGUAAAAUUAAAUAAAAU